rnacentral:rRNA from 1 species
CAAUUGAAGAGUUUGAUCAUGGCUCAGAUUGAACGCUGGCGGUAACUUUUAAACAUGCAAGUCGAGCGGUAACAGACAUAAAGAUUCAGCUUGCUGAAUCCGGUGCUGACGAGCGGCGAACGGGUGAGUAACGCGUAGGAAUCUACCCAGUAGCGGGGGAUAGCCAGAGGAAACUCUGAUUAAUACCGCAUACGCCCUGAGGGGGAAAGGGGGCAAUUUAUUGCUCUCACUAUUGGAUGAGCCUGCGUAAGAUUAGCUUGUUGGUAGGGUAAAGGCCUACCAAGGCUACGAUCUUUAGCUGGUCUGAGAGGACGAUCAGCCACAUUGGGACUGAGACACGGCCCAGACAUCUACGGAUGGCAGCAGUUAAGAAUAUUGGACAAUGGGGGCAACCCUGAUCCAGGUAUACCGCGUGUGUGAAGAAGGCCUUAGGGUUGUAAAGCACUUUAAUCAGAGAAGAAGCAUUUUAAGUUAAUACCUUAAUUUGUUGACGUUAACUGAAGAAUAAGGACCGGCUAACUCCGUGCCAGCAGCCGCGGUAAUACGGAGGGUCCAAGCGUUAAUCGGAAUUACUGGGCGUAAAGCGCGCGUAGGCGGUUUAGCAAGUUGUAUGUGAAAGCCCUGGGCUCAACCUAGGAACUGCAUCCAAAACUACUAAGCUAGAGUACGAGAGAGGAGAGUAGAAUUUCUGGUGUAGCGGUGAAAUGCGUAGAUAUCAGAAGGAAUACCAAUGGCGAAGGCAGCUCUCUGGCUCGUAACUGACGCUGAGGUGCGAAAGCGUGGGUAGCAAACAGGAUUAGAUACCCUGGUAGUCCACGCCGUAAACGAUGACAAUUAGCCGUUGGGCAGAUUUAACUGUUCAGUGGCACAGCUAACGCAUUAAAUUGUCCGCCUGGGGAGUACGGCCGCAAGGCUAAAACUCAAAUGAAUUGACGGGGGCCCGCACAAGUGGUGGAGCAUGUGGUUUAAUUCGAUGCAACGCGAAGAACCUUACCAAUCCUUGAAAUCUAGCGAAGUUCGCAGAGAUGUGAAUGUGCCUUCGGGAACGCUAUGACAGGUGUUGCAUGGCUGUCGUCAGCUCGUGUCGUGAGAUGUAUGGUUAAGUCCAGUAACGAGCGCAACCCCUAUCCUUAUUUGCCAGCGCGUAAUGGCGGGAACUAUAGGGAGACUGCCGGGUGAAACCCGGAGGAAGGCGGGGACGAGGUCAAGUCAUCAUGGCCCUUAUGGAUUGGGCUACACACGUGCUACAAUGGGAAGUACAGAGGGAUGCGAAAGCGCGAGCUGGAGCCAAACCCUUAAAACUUUUCUUAGUCCGGAUUGGAGUCUGCAACUCGACUCCAUGAAGUUGGAAUCACUAGUAAUCGCGAAUCAGAAUGUCGCGGUGAAUACGUUCUCGGGCCUUGUACACACCGCCCGUCACAUCAUGGAAGUGGGUUGCACCAGAAGUGGUUAGUCUAACCUUCGGGAAGACGAUCACCACGGUGUGAUUCAUGACUGGGAUGAAGUCGUAACAAGGUAGCCCUAGGGGAACCUGGGGCUGGAUCACCUCCUUA